rnacentral:misc_RNA from 1 species
AAGUCGUAACAAGGUUUCCGUAGGUGAACCUGCGGAAGGAUCAUUAAUAAUGUUGGAUACUGGGCUAACGCUCGGUUGAUAUCUUGUGAACUGGCAUGCAAUACUUGUAUUCAUGUGAAUUUUGUACUCUAGUGAUUAUUAUAUAUAGAUUCAAUCUAUGACAACUUUCAGCAAUGGAUCUCUUGGCUCUU